rnacentral:rRNA from 1 species
GAUGAACGCUGGCGGCGUGCCUAACACAUGCAAGUCGAGCGAACAGAUGAGGGGUUUUUUCCUCCGAUGUUAGCGACGGACGGGCGAGUAAGAAGCGCGUAACCAACCUAUCAGUCACGGCUAACUACGGCAAACCGGGUCUAAUACCGGCUAUUAUAUGUACCUUGACGGCUUCCUAUUGAAAGACGGUGUUUCUGUCACUUAUGGAUGGAUCCGCGCCGCAUUAGCUAGUUGGUAAGGUAACGGCUUACCAAGGCAACGAUGCGUAGCCGACCUGAGAGGAGGGUCGGGCACCCUGGAACUGAGACGCGGCCCAGACUCCUACGGGAGGCAGCAGUAGAGUAUCUUACGCAAUGGGCGAGAGCCUGACGGGGCAACGCCGCGUGGGUGAUAGGAGUCUUCGGAUCGUAGAUCUCUGUUGCUAGGAUGGGACAAUUGUGUGGGUAACGAGGCACGUCUUGACGGUACCGAAUCAAAAAGCCCCGGCUAACUACGUG